rnacentral:lncRNA from 1 species
GUAUUUAUUAUUUUUACAUAAGAAAACAUUUAUAUGAGAAAAAGUAUCAGCAGAGCUUACACAGUGAUAGGAUUAUACAUCAUGAUUUCCUCUUUAAACAUCUUUAUAAUUAUCAAACAUGAGUGAUUAAAAAAACUGAAGCUAAAGGUAGCAAUAUUCUCUAUACUGGCAGAUUUUUCAGCAUUGCAUAUGAACCCACCUCCGGUAAGUGGGUUAUCUUUCUAAUUUAUGACUUCAGUGAAAUCUGUUUCCUGGCAAUGGUUGCCAGGGCACGCCUUCUCUCUUGUUCUCCGUCAUGCUUACUUUUAAGCCUAAGGGCAAGAAAGAAAUAGACAGAAAGCAAGAAGUAGCAUGAGCAUCUUUUUUUGUGUGUGUGUGUGGCAUGUUAGGAAAAGGAGCUGUAAACACACUCCACUAAGCAUAGCACAUGCCUUGGAUUCAAGCAGUGGACCUCAAAGAGUAGCGUCUCCUUUUAAGCUUUGCAGGGCAAGUUUGGGGCACUGUCAGUGAAAAAUUGUCACUGCUUCUUGCCUUGGUGCUUGCCUGAACAACAAGGAGUUCUUCUAACUGCCUUAAAAGGAAUCUACUCCUCUCUCCUGCCACAGUGCCAAAUGCAAAUAUUAUUUGAGGAUAUCAAUCCUUAGAGACUCAUUCAAAAGACUUUAAAAAAGAAAAAGCCUCUGAAUUUACGAAACCAAAGCAGCUAUCAGGAUGAUCAGGAGAUGGGGAGACAGAGGAAAGAAAGGAGAGAUCUGUGGAUCCCGUGAGCACCCCAAAUUGGAACCACUCCUUACCGUGUCUCAAGGAAGCAACAGACCUCCAAACUGCAUGGUGUACCUCAAAAGAGCAAGACCCAAGCAAAAAGACCUGCUGCUUCAAGUCCUUUCUGCCAUUGCUGAAGAAAUGACAUGAAUUCAGACAAAGGAAUUACCUGGUCCAAUUGUGUCUAUCUGAGACAGUCCUCAAAUGCUAAGUUACCAGCCAUCUAGGAUCACACAGCUAAGGAAGGCUUCCCGCCGCUGCCUCCCCUGCCUUUCCUGCUGAGCCUGAUGGAUGAGCUUUUGUCUUUCUGGCAUCCCAAGCCCUUCGCUUUGUUUCACUUUUGACAGCUAUGCACCUUGCGGAGAAGCCAGCCAGGUUUGGAAACCAGUUUGGUCCUGACAGACCUGCACAGCGGUAACUCACCUAUAUACGCAGUGAUCUGGGGCAGUGCCUGCCUGGGCACUAGAAAGUCAGACCAGGUUCCCAGAGAGCCCUAAGGGCAACCAGUCUAAACAGAUACAUCAAUCUGCUCACUAAAGAAUAAAGCUGGCUCUCCCAAUAUAAUUACAGGCUGGCUGAUUUAUUCUUCCAAUCUUUAGUGCGUGGCAAGGUUAGUGUUAU